CCCAAAGUUUCUGGUGUUCAUUCAGGUGAACUCAAGGCCGAGGCGCUGACCGGAUACCCAAAGCACACUAGGCCAAGGAUCCACCGAGCCCAGGAGCGGCGCCUGGGGGCGAUCCCGGCGGCCUAGACUCUCCAAGGACUCAAGAAAACACACAGGGCUCCCUGGUGGCGCUGCAAGGUAGCACAGCAGGCGAGAUCACCCGAGAUCCCCGGCCCCCGCUACCUGACACCACCCAUACCUUGACUUGUUCUCCAGGUCACUGUCAAGCCUCACAGGCUGCGAACCCGCCAUCGCCGCGUCCGCUCUAGGAAUCUGGGAGGAUUGCUCAGCUCUAUGGCGCGGAGCCUCGCACGUGAGCACACGCAAGGGGGCGGCGGCCACGGCGGCGGGUCGGACGGUGUUUGCCGAGAGUUAACCCGUGAAUCUCCGCGAAGCUGACCUCAGCGGAGCUAUAGCUAGCGACCUGGUGAGCCAGCGACAGGUACCUUGCUGGCCUAUCUGCCGGUUCUUGACGUGAAUGUCGAAACACCUUUCAGGAAAGCUCUCUGGGGCAGGAUUGUGCUAGAUUUGUUGCCUUGUGGAGUCUUACCAAAGAUGCAUUCUGAGGCUAAGAAGCCAGCUUGGAAUCUAACAGUUUGAUCAGUCAGCCAGAACAACCCUAGACCCAGUUGUGGUCCACACCAGCUGACACUGAAGAGGUUCCUCUCAGUAAGGUAAAAAGAAUUCAAAGGUUUCCAAAGAGAUCAGGAGUGAUAAUGCAGACAUGGGAAAUGAUAUGAGAUUCUCAAGAAUAGAACUGAUAACUCACCCACCAGUAUUCUACCUAAUUUCUGUUUCCUAUUACAUUUCUUCUUGCGGGAAACUAGGCCAAACUAACAUAUGUCUGAUUUAAGCAUAGGUUCUACAGUAGUGGUUCUUAAUCCUUUUUGGAUAAUAUGACUACUUUGAGAAUAUGAUAGAAACUAUAGACCUCUUCUUCAGAAAGUUGAACAUCAAGACCUACAUGUGAACUUUUGCUUAUCAUGUAUUAUAUUGUAUGAGAAAUUAAUUUCCUUUAGACUGAAUAAUCAGUCUUCACAAAGAAUUAAUUUUAAUCUAAAAAUUAAUCUCUAGGUCCAGGUAAACAAGGGAAAUAAAUACAAAUUGUGAAGCCAAAUGAAAAAAAUUGACUUUCCUUUUUGUCAAAUAAAGAUUAACAAGUAGA